UACAUGGGGUGCAAACGUUGCUCGGAAUUAUUGGGCGUAAAGCGCACGUAGGCGGUUCGUUAAGUCGGAUGUGAAAGCCCUCGGCUCAACUGAGGAAGUGCACCCGAAACUGGCGAGCUUGAGUACGAAAGAGGAUCGCGGAAUUCCCGGUGUAGAGGUGAAAUUCGUAGAUAUCGGGAGGAACACCGGUGGCGAAGGCGGCGAUCUGGGUCGAUACUGACGCUGAUGCGCGAAAGCUAGGGGAGCAAACAGG
rnacentral:rRNA from 1 species